rnacentral:rRNA from 1 species
UNAUUCGAUGAUACGCGAGGNACCUUACCAGGGCUUNAAUGCAAGUUGAAUGAUGUGGAAACAUGUCAGUCUUCGGACAAUUUGCAAGGUGCUGCAUGGCUGUCGUCAGCUCGUGCCGUGAGGUGUUGGGUUAAGUCCCGCAACGAGCGCAACCCCCAUCUUUAGUUGCUAGCAGGUAAUGCUGAGGACUCUAAAGAAACUGCCUACGCAAGUAGUGAGGAAGGCGGGGACGACGUCAAGUCAUCACGGCCCUUACGUCCUGGGCCACACACGUGCUACAAUGGUUGGUACAGAGGGCAGCUACUGGGUGACCAGAUGCGAAUCUCUAAAGCCAAUCUCAGUUCGGAUUGGAGUCUGCAACUCGACUCUAUGAAGCUGGAAUCGCUAGUAAUCGCGCAUCAGCCAUGGCGCGGUGAAUACGUUCCCGGGCCUUGUACACACCGCCCGUCAAACAAUGGAAGCUGGGGGUGCCUGAAGUCGGUAACCGCAAGG